rnacentral:rRNA from 1 species
UACGUAGGGUGCAAGCGUUAAUCGGAAUUACUGGGCGUAAAGCGUGCGCAGGCGGUGAUGUAAGACAGAUGUGAAAUCCCCGGGCUCAACCUGGGAACUGCAUUUGUGACUGCAUCGCUGGAGUACGGCAGAGGGGGAUGGAAUUCCGCGUGUAGCAGUGAAAUGCGUAGAUAUCAUUUGGAACGCCAAUGGUGAAAACAGGUAGCUGGGAGUGUGCUGACGCUGAGACACGAAAGCCAGGGGAGCGAACGGG